ACUCUCGCCUCCCUCAACAUCAUCUUUUGUCUUUAGCUGAAUAUGGUAUUUAAGAACAGCCAGAAGAACCUCGAAGGGCAGAGGAAAAUGUCUUUCUCCUCGACAAGUCCCAGGGAAACUCAGGUCCUAAAGGAAGGAAGAACUCCAACUCUGGCAUGAAGAAUGAGUCAGAUUCCUGGAGUCUUCCUCUCAAACGUUCAGAAGUGCUCUAUAUAAACCCUUAAGAUUCUGGCAGGCGGGUGAGGAGAUCAUCUUGCGGCCACCGGAGAGAAACUUCAAAUGUACAGGAAAACAAUCUAUUCUUCUAUGAGUGCCACAUCUCAGCCAUUUUACUUUGAAUGUCUGUGGAAAUAAACAGGAACUGAUUCUAUGUGGACUCAGGUGGCUGUGAGAUGGCGCGUCCAACUCAGCAGUCAGGGGUGACUUGCACAUUAAUCAGGACCCUGAUUUGUGGUGCACUGAAGCAAGGAAGCAUACAUGGAGCCCCAAGAGAGAUUCCGGUAACCCUCGUGUGCCUCAUCCUUACAAAU